UUAACGAAAGCUAAUGCGUUUCAUUGUUACUGAAAUUUUUAAAGAUUUUCUUUUCGUUAAU
rnacentral:tRNA from 1 species